rnacentral:rRNA from 1 species
AACGAACGCUGGCGGCGUGCUUAACACAUGCAAGUCGAACGCGAAAGUUUCUUUCGAGAAGCGAGUAGAGUGGCGCACGGGUGAGUAACGCGUAAGUAAUCUACCCUGAUGUUCGGGAUAACCCACCGAAAGGUGAGCUAAUACCGGAUACGCUGGAGACAGGAAAGGUGGCCUCUUCAUGAAAGCUACUGCAUCAGGAGGAGCUUGCGUACCAUUAGCUAGUUGGUAGGGUAAAGGCCUACCAAGGCGACGAUGGUUAGCGGGUCUGAGAGGAUGAUCCGCCACACUGGAACUGGAACACGGACCAG